UUGGAGGGCAAGUCUGGUGCCAGCAGCCGCGGUAAUUCCAGCUCCAAUAGCGUAUAUUAAAGUUGUUGCAGUUAAAAAGCUCGUAGUUGAAUUUCGGAAUCUGUCCAUCGGUCGGGCUUCAUUGUUCGUACUGGUGUGGUGGGUUCUUACCUUCUGAAUAACCAGCAUGCCAUUCACUUGGUGCGUUGGGGAAGCAGGACUAUUACCUUGAAAAAAUUAGAGUGCUCAAAGCAGGCCAGUGCCUGAAUACAUUAGCAUGGAAUAAUAAAAUAGGACGGCAUGGUUCUAUUUUGUUGGUUUCUAGGAUCACCGUAAUGAUUAAUAGGGAUAGUUGGGGGCAUUAGUAUUCAAUUGUCAGAGGUGAAAUUCUUGGAUUUAUUGAAGACUAACUUCUGCGAAAGCAUUUGCCAAGGAUGUUUUCAUUAAUCAAGAACGAAAGUUAGGGGAUCGAAGACGAUCAGAUACCGUCGUAGUCUUAACCAUAAACUAUGCCGACUAGGGGUCGGACGAUGUUAAUUUUUUAAUGACUCGUUCGGCGCCUUACGGGAAAC
rnacentral:rRNA from 1 species